GGAGGGUGCGAGCGUUGUUCGGAAUUACUGGGCGUAAAGCGCGUGUAGGCGGCCUUGCAAGUCAGGCGUGAAAGCCCUCGGCUUAACCGGGGAAGUGCGUCUGAAACUGCUUGGCUUGAGUACGGGAGAGGGAGGCGGAAUUCCCUGUGUAGAGGUGAAAUUCGUAGAUAUUGGGAGGAACACCGGUGGCGAAAGCGGCCUCCUGGACCGAUACUGACGCUGAGACGCGAAAGCGUGGGGAGCAAACAGGAUUAGAUACCCUGGUAGUCCACGCGGUAAACGAUGGGCACUAGGUGUGGGGGGUAUCCACUCCUCCCGUGCCGAAGCUAACGCAUUAAGUGCCCCGCCUGGGGAGUACGGCCGCAAGGUUA
rnacentral:rRNA from 1 species